GAGUGGCGGACGGGUGAGUAACACGUAGGUAACCCGUUCAGAAGCGGGGGACAACAUUUGGAAACAGAUGCUAAUACCGCAUAACAACGUUGUUCGCAUGAACAACGCUUAAAAGAUGGCUUCUCGCUAUCACUUCUGGAUGGACCUGCGGUGCAUUAGCUUGUUGGUGGGGUAACGGCCUACCAAGGCGAUGAUGCAUAGCCGAGUUGAGAGACUGAUCGGCCACAAUGGGACUGAGACACGGCCCAUACUCCUACGGGAGGCAGCAGUAGGGAAUCUUCCACAAUGGGCGCAAGCCUGAUGGAGCAACACCGCGUGAGUGAAGAAGGGUUUCGGCUCGUAAAGCUCUGUUGUUAAAGAAGAACACGUAUGAGAGUAACUGUUCAUACGUUGACGGUAUUUAACCAGAAAGUCACGGCUAACUACGUGCCAGCAGCCGCGGUAAUACGUAGGUGGCAAGCGUUAUCCGGAUUUAUUGGGCGUAAAGAGAGUGCAGGCGGUUUUCUAAGUCUGAUGUGAAAGCCUUCGGCUUAACCGGAGAAGUGCAUCGGAAACUGGAUAACUUGAGUGCAGAAGAGGGUAGUGGAACUCCAUGUGUAGCGGUGGAAUGCGUAGAUAUAUGGAAGAACACCAGUGGCGAAGGCGGCUACCUGGUCUGCAACUGACGCUGAGACUCGAAAGCAUGGGUAGCGAACAGGAUUAGAUACCCUGGUAGUCCAUGCCGUAAACGAUGAGUGCUAG
rnacentral:rRNA from 1 species